CUGCCGGUCACUGGGUAAAAACGUGAGGAUGGCGUGGGAAGUUUGUUUGACCCAGUUUCAACUAUGGGAUAAGUGUUGAUAAAAAAAAAUCUGAGCUCGCUGAAUCAAGGUUCUCUGAAGUUUCUUAUAAUUAUUCAAGUAAUAAUUCAGUCACCCCAGAAACUUCAGUACUUUGCAAUUCUCGGAUGAAUAAAGGGAAAUCCAUCUAGGCAGAGAGUUUAGAUAUUUUAUGGAAGUUUGCUGGAUGUACUUGCGUUUAAGUUCAAUUUCUGAAAUGCAAUGCAACGAGAAGAGUUAAACAUUCUCCUGAAAGUUUACAGUUUCCAUGUCUCAUAUCUACAAUACCAUUGGAAUCCCUGGGUGAGUAAUAAUUCCCAAAGUUCCAUAAUUCUAAAUCUUGAAUCUCAAUUUUC